UACGUAGGGGGCUAGCGUUGUCCGGAAUCAUUGGGCGUAAAGCGCGCGUAGGCGGCCCGGUAAGUCCGCUGUAAAAGUCAAAGGCUCAACCUUUGAAUGUCAGUGGAUACUGCCGGGCUAGAGUCCGGAAGAGGCGAGUGGAACUCCUGGUGUAGCGGUGGAAUGCGCAGAUCUCAGGAAGAACACCAACGGCGAAGGCAGCUCGCUGGGACGGUACUGACGCUGAGGCGCGAAAGCUAGGGGAGCAAACAGG
rnacentral:rRNA from 1 species